CUUCCAGUAGCACCUUAAAGACCAACUAAGUUUGUUAUUGGUAUGUGCAUGCACACAAAAGCUCAUAACAAUAACAAACUUAGUUGGUCUCUAAGGUGCUACUGGAAG